CUCAGGAAGGGAUUCGGUGACCUAUUAAAAUGUCUGCGGCCGCUAGGUUUGUUUACUGAUUUUGUUUUGUUUCGUUUUCGUUUUCGUUUCCUUGUACAUUUUCCAUUUGAGUUUCAAUUGAUAAGCCUCAGAGAUUUGGUAGACGCUUAAUGAUGGAAGGGUUGGACAGGAUUUAGAAUUGAGAUUGGAGGUUAGUUGACAGUUGCACCUCUUUUUUAUUUCUUACGAAUGAGAAAGAUAUGGGGUAUCUGUAUGGAUGCUUGUUUAUACGAGUACGUGUGGACUUUGAUGUUUUUUUUUUCACUUGUAGAUCGCUAAAAUCUGAGCUUGAGAAAUGAAUGCAGGACCAUGUGUGCCCGUAUACCAGCGUUACAUUCCGUUGCUGAAAUAUGUUUUCCCUGCAACAGAACGAAACCUUCUUAGGUCAGCUCUAUGUUCAUCUCAACCUCUUCAUUGUUAUAGAGAAUGUCUACCACUACCACACCCACACACAAAAAUCAUGGCUAAUAUUUCUAUUAGUUAAAGCUCCAUGCCACGCCAAUAUUUUUUUCUCGCUUUCUUAUAUAUUCUAUUAUAUUUUCUGUCACUUUCAAAGUGACAGAAAAUAAAAAAGGAGUUUGAAUUAGAUUUGCAGAACGGGCAGUAUCAAACAAUACCGUCAUCAUUAAUGUCUAACUCAUCGUCAACUCUGUAAAAAGGAAACAAGAAAGAAAAGUUGGUGGGUGAAAGUAUAUAUAUAUAUAAAUGGUUUAUUCUGGUGUUUCCAUUUUUUAGUAGAUUUUUGCCUUUUACGAGAAUAAGUUUUACCAUAACAUUAAAAAAAGGUAUAAAGAAAAAUCUAUUCACUGAACUUAUUGGUAGAUCUCGGAUGUGUUUGGUGUACUGGGAAAAGCGAGAGAGGGAAGCAUAACUAGGUAACUGGACUGGUCAAAAGACAAGGCCACCCUUUCUCAAGCAUUGAAUAGGCUUGUGAGCGAAUGAUAACGGGGAAACGAUACAAGACGAAAGGAUAUAAGUUGAGAUUUUCUUAGAUUGGUUCAUUCAGAUAUCUCUUUAGCCAUUUUCGAUAAUCAAUACAAUGUUCUUGUCCCAUUCUUGUUAUAAAGGCCGGACAUUAAUUUCCAAGCGGAAAAAAUUGUAUGUUCAUUUAUGGGCUUUCGUGUUGUAAACUUUCUCCAUUUGAAUGAGUAGUCAAUUCCUUUUUCGAUGCAUACAAGAUAAUUUUUGGAACAACUU
rnacentral:telomerase_RNA from 1 species